AAGGCACCUCUGCCGGGCGCCGUAGCGUCCUCGAGCUUGGUGAUUCCCUUGUACACCAGGCCUCUGGCUGGGCAGCCAUCUCUCCCCUAGUAUUAAAGCGGUUGGGUUGACCGCCGGCCCUACCCAGAGGGCCUACCGCAUCAGUGACAGGAGGCCUGAGUCCUGACAUCAGGAAACUCCCGAUAGUCACCUUACGGUACUACUCCCAAACCCGAAGGCUUGGUUUGGCUUCCUCGCCCUCUUAGCCACAUUACAGUGUUGCCCGCGGGGUCCCAUGAGGAGGAGGGGCGAGGUUCGACACAGGCAGCGCUUCCUUGAUCGAGAUCACCGGCUUGGAUUACACGAGAGUGCCACCUCUCGCAGCGAAUUCACCUGUGACUUGUGUGGAUCUCCUGCACCGCGGUGCAGCACCAC
rnacentral:lncRNA from 1 species